GACGAAGGAGGGCGGCGUGCCUAAUACAUGCAAGUCGAGCGAAGCGGCGGAUGGGUGAGUAACGCGUGGGUAACCUGCCCUUAAGUCUUGGAUACCAUUUGGAAACAAAUGCUAAUACCGGAUACUCACGGCUUGACCUGUGAUUCAUUAGCUAGUUGGUAAGGUAACGGCUUACCAAGGCGAUGAUGCAUAGCCGAGUUGAGAGACUGAUCGGCAACAUUGGGACUGAGACACGGCCCAAACUCCUACGGGAGGCAGCAGUAGGGAAUCUUCCACAAUGGACGAAAGUCUGAUGGAGCAACGCCGCGUGAGUGAAGAAGGUUUUCGGAUCGUAAAGCUCUGUUGUUGGUGAAGCGGUAAUCAACCAGAAAGUCACGGCUAACUACGUGCCAGCAGCCGCGGUAAUAC
rnacentral:rRNA from 1 species